GACGAACGCUGGCGGCGUGCUUAACACAUGCAAGUCGAACGGAAAGGCCCUGCUUUUGUGGGGUGCUCGAGUGGCGAACGGGUGAGUAACACGUGAGUAACCUGCCCUUGACUUUGGGAUAACUUCAGGAAACUGGGGCUAAUACCGGAUAGGAUCUCCUGCUGCAUGUGGGGGGUUGGAAAGUUUCGGCGGUUGGGGAUGGACUCGCGGCUUAUCAGCUGGUUGGUGGGGUAGUGGCUUACCAAGGGUUUGACGGGUAGCCGGCCUGAGAGGGUGACCGGCCACAUUGGGACUGAGAUACGGACCAGACUCCUACGGGAGGCAGCAGUGGGGAAUAUUGCACAAUGGGCGGAAGCCUGAUGCAGCAACGCCGCGUGCGGGAUGACGGCCUUCGGGUUGUAAACCGCUUUCGCCUGUGACGAAGCGUGAGUGACGGUAAUGGGUAAAGAAGCACCGGCUAACUACGUG
rnacentral:rRNA from 1 species